rnacentral:rRNA from 1 species
UACGUAGGGUGCGAGCGUUGUCCGGAAUUAUUGGGCGUAAAGGGCUCGUAGGCGGUCUGUCGCGUCGGGAGUGAAAACUCAGGGCUUAACCCUGAGCCUGCUUCCGAUACGGGCAGACUAGAGGUAUGCAGGGGAGAACGGAAUUCCUGGUGUAGCGGUGGAAUGCGCAGAUAUCAGGAAGAACACCGGUGGCGAAGGCGGUUCUCUGGGCAUUACCUGACGCUGAGGAGCGAAAGUGUGGGGAGCGAACAGG